rnacentral:rRNA from 1 species
UAACACGUGGGGAACCUGCCCCAUAGUCUGGGAUACCACUUGGAAACAGGUGCUAAUACCGGACAAGAAAGCGGAUCGCAUGAUCAGCUUUUAAAAGGCGGCGUAAGCUGUCGCUAUGGGAUGGCCCCGCGGUGCAUUAGCUAGUUGGUAAGGUAAAGGCUUACCAAGGCGAUGAUGCAUAGCCGAGUUGAGAGACUGAUCGGCCACAUUGGGACUGAGACACGGCCCAAACUCCUACGGGAGGCAGCAGGU